CGUAAGCAUUAAGCGUAUGCUGGCACAGCGCCGAGCGGACGCAGUCUUGUUUGUCAAAGCGGAUGAUGCCCACCAUGUCGUCCUCUUCGAAGCGUUCCAACGCAUCGCUAAGGCCGGAUUUCACGCCGCGCGGUAAAUCGCACUGAGUGAUAUCGCCAUUAACGAUCACCGUAACAUUUUCACCCAGACGCGUC
rnacentral:antisense_RNA from 1 species